AAGCACUAUUCCAGUGUGAUAGCAAACUUGGAGGAAUCCAUCUUGCAGCCAGUGCCCAAGCCCUUGAGGCUGGAUUCACUGCUGUAAGGAAGUGGAAGGAAUCAUGUUUUUGCAGCUGUGUUAUUUCAGCUAAAGGAGAAUCUUCAUCAUUGUAAAAAUGACUGAAUGCUGUGCUUUAUGUUAAUUCAAUGAUGUCUGCAUUUCUGAGUGCCAUCUGGGCCUCUCAAGACUUUAGGCUUAGGCAUACCUGACUGACAAAUGUCAGACAGCUUUAGUGGAUGGUGGCUGCUAAAUCGAACUUCACUGCUCACAAGCUGGAUGUGCAUGGUGACAGAUUUUUAUGCAGCUUUAUGAUUGAGUACAGUUUUCACAGAUCACUGUGCUAGAUUUAGGCAUGUAAAAUCAUGCACAAGUUGCAAUAAAAGUUUUUUUGUUGAAUGA